UACGAAGGGGGCUAGCGUUGCUCGGAAUCACUGGGCGUAAAGGGUGCGUAGGCGGGUCUUUAAGUCAGGGGUGAAAUCCUGGAGCUCAACUCCAGAACUGCCUUUGAUACUGGAAAGCUUGAGUUCGGGAGAGGUGAGUGGAACUGCGAGUGUAGGGGUGAAAUUCGUAGAUAUUCGCAAGAACACCAGUGGCGAAGGCGGCUCACUGGCCCGGUACUGACGCUGAGGUGCGAAAGCGUGGGGAGCAAACAGG
rnacentral:rRNA from 1 species